GUUCGAUUAAAGGGACUGUUGAAGACAUUGCCAAUGUCCCAGCAGGAGUAUUUAACAAUGUUUCAGGAACUGUUGAAGGAACUGUCAAAGAUAUAACAAA